CAAGAUGUGAACAAGUUAAAUUUAGCUGAAUGGUACCUCGAGCGUGAAACAUUGGAUAUUUUAUACAUUGGACAUUCUAUACAAUUUUAAAGGGUUUUUACGCAAAUAUUUUUUCUUUGGUGGUUAGCAUGUUUGAUUCAAAGGCGGAUUUAAGGCAGUGGAGGCCCCUGGGCUGAAUUGGUGUGGGGCCCUACCUCCUCCCAUUAAAAAAAUGUUGAUCUACUUUCAUAAAUAUAUUUUUAAAUAAUAAAAAAUACAAGAGCUGUUACGUGUUACUGUAAAAUAUUAAAAAAAAAGAAUGUGUGUGUACUUUAUACGCACGUAAGAAGUUUUACUUCUAUUAUAUAAUUUCAACGAAAUAAAUAUACUAAACAGUU